AUUGAACGCUGGCGGCGGGCCUAACACAUGCAAGUCGAACGGUGACAGGAAGAAGAUUUCUUCUUUUCUGACGCGUGGAGGACGAGUGAGGGAUGUCUGGGAAACUGCCUGAUGGCGUGGGAUAUCUACUGGAAACGCUAGCUGAUACCGCUUAACGGACCACGUCCAAAGGGGGGGCCCUUCGGGCUUCUUGCGACCUGAGGUGUCCAGAUUGGGUUAGCUAGGAGGGGGGGUAACGGCUCCGCUAGGCGACGACCCCUAGAUGGUCUGAGAGGUUGACCAGCCACACUGGAACUGAGACACGGUCGCGACUCCUACGGGGGGCAGCAGUGGGGAAUAUUGCACAAUGGGGGCAAGCCUGAUGCAGCCAUGCCGCGUGUAUGAAGAAGGCCUUCGGGUUGUAAAGUACUUUAGGAGGGGAGGAAGGGAGGCAAGUUAAUACCUUUGCUCAUUGACGUUACCCGCAGAAGAAGCACCGGCUAACUCCGUG
rnacentral:rRNA from 1 species